rnacentral:tRNA from 1 species
AUUUAAAUAGUUUAAGGAAAACGUUAGUUUGUGGGGCUAGAAUUAUAAAGAAAUUAUUUUAAAUC